rnacentral:rRNA from 1 species
GACGAACGCUGGCGGCGUGCUUAACACAUGCAGGUCGAACGGAAAGGCCCUGCUUGCAGGGUGCUCGAGUGGCGAACGGGUGAGUAACACGUGGGUGAUCUGCCCCUUACUUUGGGAUAAGCCUGGGAAACUGGGUCUAAUACUGGAUAGGACCAUGCUGUAGGUGGUGUGGUGGAAAGAUUAGUUUCGGUAAGGGAUGAGCUCGCGGCCUAUCAGCUUGUUGGUGGGGUAAUGGCCCACCAAGGCGUCGACGGGUAGCCGGCCUGAGAGGGUGGACGGCCACAUUGGGACUGAGAUACGGCCCAGACUCCUACGGGAGGCAGCAGUGGGGAAUAUUGCACAAUGGGCGCAAGCCUGAUGCAGCGACGCCGCGUGGGGGAUGACGGCCUUCGGGUUGUAAACUCCUUUCAGCCAUGACGAAGCCCUUGUGGUGACGGUAGUGGUAGAAGAAGCACCGGCUAACUACGUG